GUAUGAACAGAACACAGAUGUACCAACCGAGUCCGAUUCUACAGAGAAUACGGGAAGGGGGAAGCGCAAAAAGAGGCGAGUGAUUUUGUCCAGUGAGGAUGAGGAUGAUGACAAUUGGUCCGGCAGUCAAAUCAGGCCUACACCUCCAUCCACCCUCAGUGCAUCCACCCUCAGAUCUGUGCAGACACCUGCACCGCCUC